AGACAGGGCUCAGUGUGGGCUUCCAGGGGAGCUGUGUGUGUGAGAGAGAGACAGGGCUCAGUGUGGGCUUCCAGGGGAGCUGUGUGUGUGAGAGAGAGAGGGCUUAGUGUGGGCUUCCAGGGGAGCUGCGUGUGUGUGUGUGUGUGAUAGAGAGACAGGGCUUAGUGUGGGCUUCCAGGGGAGCUGUGUGUGUGAGAGAGAGACAGGGCUCAGUGUGGGCUUCCAGGGGAGCUGCGUGUGUGUGUGUGUGUGUGUGUGUGUGAGAGAGAGAGAGAGACAGGGUUUAGUGUGGGCUUCGAGGGGAGCUGUGUGUGUGAGAGAGAUAGGGCUCAGUGUGGGCUUCCAGGGGAGCUGCGUGUGUGUGUGUGUGUGUGUGUGUGUGUGUGUGUGUGUGUGAGAGAGAGACAGGGUUUAGUGUGGGCUUCCAGGGGAGCUGUGUGUGUGAGAGAGAUAGGGCUCAGUGUGGGCUUCCAGGGGAGCUGCGUGUGUGUGUGUGUGUGUGGGAGCUGUGUGUGUGAGAGAGAUAGGGCUUAGUGUGGGCUUCCAGGGGAGCUGCGUGUGUGUGUGUGAGAGAGAGAUAGGGCUCAGUGUGGGCUUCCAGGGGAGGUUGUGUGUGUGUGUGUGUGUGUGUGUGUGUGUGUGUGUGAGACAGGGCUUAGCGUGGGCUUCCAGGGGAGCUGCGUGUGUGUGUGUGUGUGUGUCUGUGUGUGUAUGUGUGAGACAGGGUUUAGUGUGGGUUUCCAGGGGAGCUGCGUGUGUGUGUAUGUGUGAGACAGG